rnacentral:rRNA from 1 species
GACGAACGCUGGCGGCGUGCCUAAUACAUGCAAGUAGAACGCUGAAGGACUACCUUUCUUCUCUGCAUGAGUUGCGAACGGGUGAGUAACGCGUAGGUAACCUGCCUUGUAGUGUGGGAUAACUAUAGGAAACGAUAGCUAAUACCGCAUAAGAGUACAUGUUGCAUGACAUUUGCUUGAAAGGUGCAAUUGCAUCGCUACCAGAUGGACCUGCGCUGUAUUAGCUUGGUGGUGGGGUAACGGCUCACUAAGGCGGCGAUACAGAGCCGACCGGCGAGGGGGGGCGGCCAGACUGGGAGUGAGACACGCCCCAGAGGGCUACGGGAGGGAGCAGUAGUGAAUCGUGGGCAAGGGACGGAAGACUGACCGAGAAAGGCCGCGGGAGUGAAGAAGGAUGUCGGAUCGGAAAGCUCGGUUGUAAGAGAAGAACGAGUGUGCGAGUGGAAAGUUCACACUGUGACGGUAUCUUAUCAGAAAGGGACGGCUAACUACGUG